rnacentral:rRNA from 1 species
GACGUAGGGCGCAAGCGUUGUCCGGAUUUAUUGGGCGUAAAGAGCUCGUAGGCGGCUUGCCACGUCUGCCGUGAAAACCAGCAGCUUAACUGUUGGCUUGCGGUUGAUACGGGUUGGCUGGAGUUCGGUAGGGGAGACUGGAAUUUACGGUGUAGCGGUGAAAUGCGUAGAUAUCGUAAGGAAGACCAGUGGCGAAGGCGGGUCUCUGGACAGUUCCUGACGCUGAGGCACGAAGGCCAGGGGAGCAAACGGG